rnacentral:tRNA from 1 species
UAGCUCAGUUUGGUAGAGUGUUUGCCUUGCAUGCACAAGGCCCUGGGUUCAAUCCCCAG